rnacentral:lncRNA from 1 species
GAAAGCAGGAAAGAAUGUUCCAAGGCUAACAAGUCUCCUUUCCUUUAUAUAUUUAUGUGGUUGGUACUGUUUUUUCAGAUCUUCUAUGUGCUGAUUUUUUUGUCUAGUUAUUCUAGUACUUGCUGAGAGAAGAUUGCUAAAAUCUCUAAGAUUGUGGAAUUUUCAAUUUCUCCCUUUAAUUCUGCUUUUACCUCAUGUAUUUUGCAAUUCUCUUUUCAGUUAUAUACACAUUUAUGGGGCCAAUGCCUUCCUCUUGAAUUUACCCUGUUAUUAUAAUGAAAUAUCCCUCUUCAUCUAUGAUAAUACUUUUUGUCUUGUCAGUUUCCUGGGGUUACCAUAAAAAAGGACCACAAAUUGGGUGGUUUUAAACAACGGAAAUUAUACUUUCUCAGUUCUGGAUGUUAGAACUCCAAAAUCAAGGUACCAGCCUGGCCAUUCUCCCUCUUACCUCUUCCAGCUGCUGGUGGUUGCCUACAAUCCUUGGUGUUCCUUGGCUUGUAGAUGUGUCAGUCCAAUCCCUGACUCUAUCAGCCCAUAGCCUUCUUCACCCUGUGUGUCUCCAUAUCUCUGCAUCCAAAUUUUCCUCUUCUUAAAGGAUACUGGUCAUUGGACAAGAGUCCACCCUAAUCCAUUAUGACUGACCUCAUUCAAACCUGAUUACAUUGACAAAGACCCUGGUUCCAAAUAAGAUCAUAUUCAUCAGGGAUUAGGACCUCACCAUAUCCUUUUUGGAAAACGCAAUUCAACCUACAACAUCUUGGAAUCUGUUUUUGUCUGAUAACCAUAUAACCACUGCAGCCUUCUUAUGCUUUCUAUUUGCGUCAUAUAUAUAUAUAUUUUUUCCAUUCAUUUACUUUAAGCUCUUUGUUUCUUCAAAUUUGAUGUGUCUCUUGUAGACAGUAGUUUUUAAAUUCCUUCUUACAACCUCAGAUUAACUUUAUUUUAAUCUGAUUAAAUCCAUUAAUAUUUAACGUGAUUAUUGAUGUAUUUGGGUAGGUUAGCCAUUUUAUUUUUUGUUUUUUACCUAUUUUUUUUUAGCCUAUGCUUUUCAUUUAUUGCUUUAAAAUUAUUUGAAUAUUUUACAUUUCAUUUAAAUUUUCUUGUUUGCUUUUUAGCUGUACUUUGCAUUUUUUCCCCUUCAUGGUUGACUAGUGACUGCAAUAUAUAUUCUUAACUUUUUACAAUGUAAAAUGCUGAAAACUUGCAAAUAUAUAAAGCCUGUGUGGCCCUAAAAAGCAAAAAACAAAACAAAACAAUAAAAGCAAGUUUCAGACAUGUACAUGAAGCGUGUGUCUUGGGUGUUGUGUGGUGGGCCUCCCAGGUACCCCCUUCAGGAUCAAGGCACUCA